rnacentral:rRNA from 1 species
GUAGGUGGCAAGCGUUGUCCGGAAUUAUUGGGCGUAAAGCGCGCGCAGGCGGUUCUUUAAGUCUGAUGUGAAAGCCCACGGGCUCAACCGUGGAGGGUCAUUGGAAACUGGAGAACUUGAGUAGAGAAGAGGAAAGCGGAAUUCCACGUGUAGCGGUGAAAUGCGUAGAGAUGUGGAGGAACACCAGUGGCGAAGGCGGCUUUCUGGUCUGUAACUGACGCUGAGGCGCGAAAGCGUGGGGAGCAAACAGGAUUAGAUACCCUGGUAGUCCACGCCGUAAACGAUGAGUGCUAAGUGUUAGGGGGUUUCCGCCCCUUAGUGCUGCAGCUAACGCAUUAAGCACUCCGCCUGGGGAGUACGGCCGCAAGGCUG